rnacentral:rRNA from 1 species
AUUGAACGCUGGCGGCAGGCUUAACACAUGCAAGUCGAGCGGAGAUGAGGUGCUUGCACCUUAUCUUAGCGGCGGACGGGUGAGUAAUGCUUAGGAAUCUGCCAUUUAGUGGGGGACAACAUUCCGAAAGGAAUGCUAAUACCGCAUACGUCCUACGGGAGAAAGCAGGGGAUCUUCGGACCUUGCGCUAAAUGAUGAGCCUAAGUCGGAUUAGCUAGUUGGUGGGGUAAAGGCCUACCAAGGCGACGAUCUGUAGCGGGUCUGAGAGGAUGAUCCGCCACACUGGGACUGAGACACGGCCCAGACUCCUACAGGAGGCAGCAGUGGGGAAUAUUGGACGAUGGGGGGAACCCUGAUCCAGCCAUGCCGCGUGUGUGAAGAAGGCCUUAUGGUUGUAAAGCACUUUAAGCGAGGAGGAGGCUACUGAGACUAAUACUCUUGGAUAGUGGACGUUACUCGCAGAAUAAGCACCGGCUAACUCUGUG